CUUAUUCCCUCUUUUCUUUACAUUCAGCUCACACAGGGUAAGUCACCUCUGAUCUGAGUGCUUCACAACCUGACUGCUCUAUCUGCCCCAAUAUCUUAAGUAGGAACAGCCAGAGGAAACACUUUCCAAAUGGAAUGAACAUGCUGCAGUCAGUUUGAACUCUUCUUACCCUCAGAUUAAAUUCCUCUUCAAUAAGCUACCUUUAUAAAUUCACACUUCCCAAUACAUAGGAAACAUUAUACGUCACCUUGUCACUGCAUGCAAUGAAGAAUAGUGAUACUGCCUUCCAAGGAGCAAUAAUGAACAUUAUAUCAGUAAGCAAUUAAAAAAAGAAAUCUACAUUAGCCUUGCAUUUUAUUUUUCAAUAAGCCUGCUGUAGUUAUUGUUAUGUGAGAAGUAUUGACUACUAAACAUACUCUAAAUUUUUGGAGUACUUCCUAUUUCUGAAGAAAAUUGAUUCCAAUUCUUCUAGACCAAUCAGAAACAUAUUUACAUAUAUUUAAACACAGGGUAAGAUAUUUGUUAUCCUGAUGAUAUGGUAAAUUACUUUAAUAUUAGAUUUUAUUCUAAUUUGAAAUUGUCCUUUAUCAAAAAGGCUUUGUCUCAAAGUGUUUACAAUAGAAAAAGACUCAUCAGAAAGACUGUUACCUUCUAUUCUACAAAGACAAAGAAGACAAAGAUCUCAUAACUUUCGUCAUACUUUGUAACACAUACACAAUUCAACAUGAAUAAAGACAUAAGAAUGCAGCUAAAAGAAAUAUGACUUGACCAAAAUGAUACAUGGAAGCUAGACAGGUUAAUAUUUGAAAAUGAGGAGCACCUUCACCUUCAACAGACUGCAGUUGGAUAUACCGAUGCUGAGAAAAUGAGACCAAGUAAUACGGCGGAGGUCAUACAAGAAGUCUCUGGCAAAGGUAGAAAUCUAAUCCAGAUCUCAUGAGUUCCAUUCUUCCAAAUGGAGAACCUUUUAAUAACAACAGCAACAACUAUAAUUAUA